rnacentral:lncRNA from 1 species
CAAACCGCACUUUCCCAACAAGAACCUUCCAUGGAGUUCUAUGGGAUAUCACACAGAUGGGGCAAGAUGGCAGUGGGUUUAAAGACUUUCCGCUUUAAGCUGCUGGAGAAGACUAAACAACAUGUUUGGUUACCCACUGCUGAAGUCAGUGUACAGUGCGACCGUCUGACAUGCCUGCAGUGUUUCCUGCAACUCACAGGCGGCAGCACCUGCAUGUCUUCUCAGAGCACUGGCACCAAGGGACAAAGGACAGGAGGUCUUUUUUCUUUUUAAAGAUGUGUUUAUUUUUGUUUAUGUAUAUGAGUGUUUGUCUGCAUGUAUGUAUAUGGAUCAUCUGUGUGCCUGCUGCCCGCAGAGGCCAGAAGAGAGCAUCCUUGGAGCUGGAGUUACCAGGGCUCUUGAAGGACUGGUAUUUGCCAUCUUGUGGGGCAUUCCCUGAAUACCUCUAGCAAGAGAAGAACCUGCAGAGCCACACAGAGACACCAGAGGGCAGCAGAGUCUCUAAACUGAAAAAAAGAAAUGGACAGGCCUCUGGCUGGGACGUGAACUGCACAAACCACAGAAACGGAGACGUUCCAAAGGGCUUCAAGGAACCCGAGAAUGGCCUCUGUGCUGACCUGUAGAGAUUUUCAAUUAGUAUAAGAUCGCUGAAAAAAAAAAAAAAACUCUCAGCCAGAACUUUCUAGAGUUACUUUCAUAGCUGCCGAAAAAGCAAAACCCAACAUGACAGCAAACAAUCUAACAGAC